rnacentral:rRNA from 1 species
AUUGAACGCUGGCGGCAGGCUUAACACAUGCAAGUCGAGCGGAGUGAUGGUGCUUGCACUAUCACUUAGCGGCGGACGGGUGAGUAAUGCUUAGGAAUCUGCCUAUUAGUGGGGGACAACAUCUCGAAAGGGAUGCUAAUACCGCAUACGUCCUACGGGAGAAAGCAGGGGAUCACUUGUGACGUUGCGCUAAUAGAUGAGCCUAAGUCGGAUUAGCUAGUUGGUGGGGUAAAGGCCUACCAAGGCGACGAUCCGUAGCGGGUCUGAGAGGAUGAUCCGCCACACUGGGACUGAGACACGGCCCAGACUCCUACGGGAGGCAGCAGUGGGGAAUAUUGGACAAUGGGGGGAACCCUGAUCCAGCCGUGCCGCGUGUGUGAAGAAGGCCUUAUGGUUGUAAAGCACUUUAAGCGAGGAGGAGGCUCAUUUGGUUAAUACCCAAGAUGAGUGGACGUUACUCGCAUAAUAAGCACCGGCUAACUCUGUGCCAGCAGCCGCCGUAA